rnacentral:rRNA from 1 species
UACGGAGGGUGCGAGCGUUAAUCGGAAUUACUGGGCGUAAAGCGCAUGCAGGCGGUUUGUUAAGCGAGAUGUGAAAGCCCCGGGCUCAACCUGGGAAAGUCAUUUCGAACUGGCAAACUAGAGUCUUGUAGAGGGGGGUAGAAUUUCAGGUGUAGCGGUGAAAUGCGUAGAGAUCUGAAGGAAUACCAGUGGCGAAGGCGGCCCCCUGGACAAAGACUGACGCUCAGAUGCGAAAGUGUGGGUAGCGAACAGG